GACGAACGCUGGCGGCGUGCUUAACACAUGCAAGUCGAACGGAGUGGCGAACGGGUGAGUAACACGUGGGUGACCUGCCCUGCACUUCGGGAUAAGCCGGGGAAACUGGGUCUAAUACCGGAUAGUGGGGGAUGGGCCCGAGGCCUAUCAGCUUGUUGGGGGGGUAAUGGCCUACGAAGGCGGCGACGGGUAGCCGGCCUGGGAGGGGGGACGGCCACAUGGGGACUGCGACACGGACCAGAAUCCUACGGGAGGCAGCAGUGGGGAAUAUUGCACAAUGGGGGGAAGCGUGAUGCAGCGACUCCGCGUGGGGGAAGACGGCCUUCGGGUUGUAAACUCCUUUCACCAUCGACGCGGUAGAUGGAGAAGAAGCACCGGCUAACUACGUGCCAGCAGCCGCGGUAAUUC
rnacentral:rRNA from 1 species